rnacentral:tRNA from 1 species
AAGUAAGAAGUGAAUUAUCACACCCAGUUUCGACCUGGCUUUUGGCUUUGUGUCCUUAUUUA